rnacentral:rRNA from 1 species
GAUGAACGCUGGCGGUAUGCCUAACACAUGCAAGUCGUACGAGAGUUUUUAACUCUAGUGGCGGACGGGUGAGUAACACGUGAGAAUUUGCCUUUAGGAGGGGGACAACAAUCGGAAACGAAUGCUAAUACCCCAUAUGCUUUCGAGUGAAAUGGAUUUUAUCCGCCUAGAGAGAAGCUCGCGGCCUAUCAGCUUGUUGGUGAGGUAAUGGCUCACCAAGGCGACGACGGGUAGCCGGCCUGAGAGGGCGACCGGCCACACUGGGACUGAGACACUGCCCCAACUCCUACGGGAGGCAGCAGUGGGGAAUCUUGGACAAUGGGCGCAAGCCUGAUCCAGCCAUGCCGCGUGGAUGAUGAAGGCCUUAGGGUUGUAAAAUCCUUUCAACGGGGACGAUAAUGACGGUACCCGUAGAAGAAGCCCCGGCUAACUUCGUG